UACGUAGGUGGCAAGCGUUGUCCGGAAUUAUUGGGCGUAAAGCGCGCGCAGGCGGUCCUUUAAGUCUGAUGUGAAAGCCCACGGCUCAACCGUGGAGGGUCAUUGGAAACUGGAGGACUUGAGUGCAGAAGAGAAGAGUGGAAUUCCACGUGUAGCGGUGAAAUGCGUAGAGAUGUGGAGGAACACCAGUGGCGAAGGCGACUCUUGGUCUGUAACUGACGCUGAGGCGCGAAAGCGUGGGGAGCAAACAGG
rnacentral:rRNA from 1 species